ACGGGGUGCAGCAGGCGCGAAACCUCCGCAAUGCGCGAAAGCGUGACGGGGUUACCCCAAGUGCCAUCCGCUGAGGACGGCUUUUCUUCGGUGUAAUGAGCCGAAGGAAUAAGGGGAGGGCAAGACUGGUGUCAGCCGCCGCGGUAAUACCAGCUCCCCGAGUGGUAGGGACAAUUAUUGGGCUUAAAGCGUCCGUAGCCGGCCUGACAAGUCCUUCGUUAAAUCCAACGACCUAAUCGUUGGGCUGCGGGGGAUACUCUCAGGCUAGGGGACGGGAGAGGCCGAUGGUAUUCUUGGGGUAGGGGUGAAAUCCUAUAAUCCCAGGAGGACCACCAGUGGCGAAGGCGAUCGGCUAGAACGCGCUCGACGGUGAUGGACGAAAGCUGGGGGAGCGAACCGGAUUAGAUACCCGGGUAGUCCCAGCUGUAAACGAUGCGAGCUAGGUGUUGGGGUGGUUACGAACCGCUUCAGUGCCGUAGGGAAACUGUUAAGCUCGCCGUCUGGAAGUACGUCGCAAGGC
rnacentral:rRNA from 1 species